GACUGCAGAUGUGAGACCUGGGAGUCGUUCGAGUUUGUAAUACGAAUUAUUUAUGUUUAGUUACUACUUACUUACGUUCCUUAAACAACAAAGGCGGACUGAAGCCCGGCCCGCGUUCCCGCGCACGGAGCCGCACCUCAGCGCGUGCCCGGCCGCUCGGCAUGGCUCGGGAAGGGCUCCGUAGUGCUGAGGGACUUCAGAGCCGCUUCCCGGUCGGCUGUAAAUUAAGGGAACUCCUCAGGAGCACCCCAGAAUUCAGCCAAAGCUCCUGGUGAGGUUAUGAGGGAAUUCAGGAUGGCAGUUUCAGUGCCUUAUCCAAACACGUGUAUUGGAAAAGGACCAGAGAAAUGGUGACAGCAGAUUCAGCAGGAGGAGUUUUGCUCAGGUCUACUUUUUCACUUGUACUGACCCCCAAGGAAUGGACUUUGCAGAGUAACGGAUGAGAAGCCAUCCUAAGAUCUUCCCCCUCAAGUAUCCUCGUGUGUUUGCCACCUGAGAACUCCAGCGUUCCUGUUCUGCUGGUUCAGGCCCAGACAGCUUCACCCCUGCACUUCCUGCCCCGGCACGGUUUUCUAGAAGUUACUCUGUUCAUACGCUUAAUAGGAAUUGUUCAGAAGCCGUGUGGUAUAUAAAAUCCAUCUUCUUCCCCAAAACGUAGCUCUGAAAUACAUUUUACCAUACAAUGAAUACUUGAUCAACUUAGUUAUUGAGCCCUAAUGUGCCUCAAAUGAUGUGUAAAUACAAUUAAGUUGUAAUGAGAUGUCAGCUGGAAAUGGAAUGCCCUGGCUGGGCUAGGGCUCUGUCGCUGGGAAUCUACGUGGCAUCGUGUUAAUAUUGCAGGCUCAUGAAUUUUUUAGUUGAGUAAAUGCAAAAAUCCUUCAUGCUCUAUCCUGUACGUAUCCAGUUGGCUGGAAGAAGCUGCUGCAGGGCUAGGCAGCUUUCUGUUGUGAUUCAUAGAUGUGCUUUCUCUCAUGUAUUCUUUUACAGAGUGAGUGUUGCUAUGUUCUGCUUUCUUUGAAAUGGAAUGCUCUUGUCUGCUGUUCAGAGUGCUGGAACAUAGAUGUUUUGAAAGGUAUAAUUAAUUGUCAUCAAAUAAUAUAUGACUUCUUUGAGGGGGUGAUCUCUUUCCAGCAGUUCCUGUUUGCCUCCUGUUCA